GACGAACGUUGGCGGCGUGCCUAAUACAUGCAAGUCGAACGAAGACUGUAGUAAUACUGUCUUAGUGGCGAACGGGUGAGUAACGCGUGGGUGACCUGCCCCGAAGUGUGGGAUAACAGUCCGAAAGGAUUGCUAAUACUGCAUAAUAUCCAAGAGAUUAGAUGCUUUUGGAUUAAAGGAGUAAUUCGCUUCGGGAGGGGCCCGCGUCCCAUCAGCUAGUCGGUAAGGUAAUGGCUUACCAAGGCGAUGACGGGUAGGGGACCUGAGAGGGUGGCCCCCACAAUGGAACUGAAACACGGUCCAUACACCUACGGGUGGCAGCAGUAGGGAAUAUUAGUAAUGGGCGAAAGCCUGAACUAGCAACGCCGCGUGUGCGAAGAAGGCCUUCGGGUCGUAAAGCACUUUUUGAGAGGAUGAGGAAGGACGGUACUCUCAGAAUAAGUCUCGGCUAACUACGUG
rnacentral:rRNA from 1 species